CCAGCAGCCGCGGUAAUACGUAGGGUGCGAGCGUUAAUCGGAAUUACUGGGCGUAAAGCGUGCGCAGGCGGCGCGUUAAGACAGGUGUGAAAGCCCCGAGCUUAACUUGGGAAUGGCGCUGGAAACUGGUGGGCUUGAGUUCUUGAGGGGAAGCUGGAAUUCCAGGUGUAGGGGUGAAAUCUGUAGAUAUUGGGAAGAACACCGGUGGCGAAGGCGGCUCACUGGACCGAUACUGACGCUGAGGCGCGAAAGCGUGGGGAGCAAACAGGAUUAGAUACCCUGGUA
rnacentral:rRNA from 1 species